rnacentral:misc_RNA from 1 species
GAUGAAGAACGCAGCGAAAUGCGAUAAGUAAUGUGAAUUGCAGAAUUCAGUGAAUCAUCGAAUCUUUGAACGCACAUUGCGCCCCUUGGUAUUCCGAGGGGCAUGCCUGUUCGAGCGUCAUUAUAACCCCUCAAGCUCAGCUUGGUAUUGGGCCCCGCCGACCCGGCGGGCCCUAAAGUCAGUGGCGGUGCCGUCCGGCUCCGAGCGUAGUAAUUCUUCUCGCUCUGGAGGUCCGGUCGUGUGCUCGCCAGCAACCCCCAAUUUUUUUCAGGUUGACCUCGGAUCAGGUAGGGAUACCCGCUGAACUUAAGCAUAUCAAUAAGCGGAGA